CCCUUAGACGUUCUGGGCCGCACGCGCGCUACACUGACCAGUGCAACAAGCAUCCGUCCUUGGCCGACAGGCCCGGGCAAUCUUUGAACGCUGGUUGUGAUGGGGAUAGACUUUUGCAAUUUUUGGUCUUCAACGAGGAAUUCCUAGUAAACGCAAGUCAUCAACUUGCAUUGAUUACGUCCCUGCCCUUUGUACACACCGCCCGUCGCACCUACCGAUUGAAUGGUCCGGUGAAGCCUCCGGAUUGGCGCGCACCUCGGUGCCGCCGAGAAGUUGGCUAAACCUUACCAUUUAGAGGAAGGUGAAGUCGUAACA
rnacentral:rRNA from 1 species